AGACAAGAUGGGUAGGAAGGCUUCUCCAGCAGCUUGGCUCCAUGAAGAUUUUCUGCCUCUGGAGCCCCGUGCAGGUGUGUCUGCAGCGAGGACGUUUCAAGCUCCUUUUCUGGUUGCUGCACGCAACCCCAGCUCCCAUCACAGGGGUUCUCCUAGAGGGAGGAACAAACCUACAGGAGACAAGAUGCUGAGUGAUCUGGAGAGACGCCAUGAGAUGAACCCAAAGGCUGUGCUGUAGGUGCCAUUUCCUGGAGGAAGCAGUGGCUCAUGGACAGCCUCUGCUGCAGGAAGGGAGGCCAUGCCAGGCACAAUCCCAGGAGAUUGGGAUCGUGACAUGGAGCAUCUGGAAGUGCUGGUAGAUGGUGGUUUGAAGACCUUGCCAGAUGCUGGAGGCAAGCUCUCAAUGUCCCUUUCCACACAGAAUAAUCAGUGUCAAUGUGGCAAGAGCUCACUCACGUUCCAUUUCCCUUGAGAGUCUGAAGGCUGAUGGAUUCUGGAAACCUCGCCCUGCUCCCUUCUGGAGCCCUGAGUGAUCCCACAGCAUUGCUGUCCGUGGGAGGAAAGAUCAUUUAGUUGUCAAUCUUCUUCCCGUGUGCAAUGCCAGUGUCUCCUUCUGUGUGCUCUGUGCAGCCACAGAGAAGAUCAGAGAGGGAAGGGCCGGUCCCAGGGCUGUGCCCCGGGGCUGUGCCUUGUGUGGCUCCUUUGCCAGCCCCAGGGAGC